rnacentral:tRNA from 1 species
GGGGCCAUAGCUCAGCUGGGAGAGCAUCUGCUUUGCAAGCAGGAGGUCGGCGGUUCGAACCCGCCUGGCUCCA